rnacentral:tRNA from 1 species
GUAUUGGUUGUUCAGUGGUAGAAUUCUCGACUUCGAUGCAGGAGACCCAGGUUUGAUUCCUGGCCAAUGCA